GCCCAGAUGGCGGAAUUGGUAGACGCAAGGGACUUAAAAUCCCUCGGUUGAAUAAACCAUGCCGGUUCGAUUCCGGCUCUGGGCA
rnacentral:tRNA from 1 species